rnacentral:rRNA from 1 species
GUAACACGUGGGUAACCUGCCCUUUAAAAUGGGAUAACACUUGGAAACAGGUGCUAAUACCGUAUAACAAUCGAAACCGCAUGGUUUUGAUUUGAAAGGCGCUUUCGGGUGUCGCUGAUGGAUGGACCCGCGGUGCAUUAGCUAGUUGGUGAGGUAACGGCUCACCAAGGCCACGAUGCAUAGCCGACCUGAGAGGGUGAUCGGCCACAUUGGGACUGAGACACGGCCCAAACUCCUACGGGAGGCAGCAGUAGGGAAUCUUCGGCAAUGGACGAAAGUCUGACCGAGCAACGCCGCGUGAGUGAAGAAGGUUUUCGGAUCGUAAAACUCUGUUGUUAGAGAAGAACAAGGAUGAGAGUAACUGUUCAUCCCUUGACGGUAUCUAACCAGAAAGCCACGGCUAACUACGUGCCAGCAGCCGCGGUAAUACGUAGGUGGCAAGCGUUGUCCGGAUUUAUUGGGCGUAAAGCGAGCGCAGGCGGUUUCUUAAGUCUGAUGUGAAAGCCCCCGGCUCAACCGGGGAGGGUCAUUGGAAACUGGGAGACUUGAGUGCAGAAGAGGAGAGUGGAAUUCCAUGUGUAGCGGUGAAAUGCGUAGAUAUAUGGAGGAACACCAGUGGCGAAGGCGGCUCUCUGGUCUGUAACUGACGCUGAGGCUCGAAAGCGUGGGGAGCAAACAGGAUUAGAUACCCUGGUAGUCCACGCCGUAAACGAUGAGUGCUAAGUGUUGGAGGGUUUCCGCCCUUCAGUGCUGCAGCUAACGCAUUAAGCACUCCGCCUGGGGAGUACGACCGCAAGGUUGAAACUCAAAGGAAUUGACGGGGGCCCGCACAAGCGGUGGAGCAUGUGGUUUAAUUCGAAGCAACGCGAAGAACCUUACCAGGUCUUGACAUCCUUUGACCACUCUAGAGAUAGAGCUUCCCCUUCGGGGGCAAAGUGACAGGUGGUGCAUGGUUGUCGUCAGCUCGUGUCGUGAGAUGUUGGGUUAAGUCCCGCAACGAGCGCAACCCUUAUUGUUAGUUGCCAUCAUUCAGUUGGGCACUCUAGCAAGACUGCCGGUGACAAACCGGAGGAAGGUGGGGAUGACGUCAAAUCAUCAUGCCCCUUAUGACCUGGGCUACACACGUGCUACAAUGGGAAGUACAACGAGUUGCGAAGUCGCGAGGCUAAGCUAAUCUCUUAAAGCUUCUCUCAGUUCGGAUUGCAGGCUGCAACU